rnacentral:rRNA from 1 species
GACGAACGCUGGCGGCGUGCUUAACACAUGCAAGUCGCACGGAUUGCUUGGUGCUUGCACUGAGUGGUUCGUGGCGAACGGGUGAGUAACACGUGAGUAACCUUCCCCCUUCUUUGGGAUAAGCACGUGAAAGGGUGUCUAAUACUGAUUAUUCUGCUGGCAUCGCAUGGCUUUGGUUGGAGAGGUCUUUCUGGUGGGGGUUGGGCUCGCGGCUUAUCUGCUUGUUGGUGGGGUAAUGGCUUACCAAGGCUUUGACGGGUAACCGGCCUGAGAGGGUAACCGGUCACAUUGGGACUGAGAUACGGCCCAGACUCCUACGGGAGGCAGCAGUGGGGAAUAUUGCACAAUGGACGAAAGUCUGAUGCAGCGACGCCGCGUGAGGGAUGAAGGCCUUCGGGUUGUAAACCUUUUUCGCUUUUGACCAAGGCAGCAUUUUGGUGUUGUUGAGGGUAUGAGGUAAAGAAGCUCCGGCUAACUACGUGCCAGCAGCCGCAGUAACAC